rnacentral:rRNA from 1 species
AGAGCAGAUGGCGGAUGCCUUGCCAAAGAGAGGCGAUGAAGGACGUACUAGACUGCGAUAAGCUAUGCGGUAGCUGUCAAGGAGCUUUGAUGCGUAGAUGUCCGAAUGGGGCAACCCAACUAAUAGAGAUAUUAGUUACUCUAAUUAUUAUAGAGGGCGAACCUAGUGAAGUGAAACAUCUCAGUAACUAGAGGAAAAGAAAUCAACGAGAUUCCCUAAGUAGUGGCGAGCGAACGGGGAAAAGGGCAAACCGAGUGCUUGCAUUCGGGGUUGAGGACUGCAACAUCCAAGAGAACGCUUUAGCAGAGUUACCUGGAAAGGUAAGCCAUAGAAAGUGAUAGCCUUGUAUGCGACAAGGCGUUUUUAGGUAGCAGGAUCCAGAGUAGGCCAGGACACGAGAAAUCCAGGUUGAAGCCGGGGAGACCACUCUCCAACCCUAAAUACUACUCUUUGAGCGAUAGCGAACAAGUACCGUGAGGGAAAGGUGAAAAGAACCGCAGUGAGCGGAGUGAAAUAGAACCUGAAACCAUCUGCUUACAAUCAUUCAGAGCCCUAUGAUUAUCAGGGUGAUGGACUGCCUUUUGCAUAAUGAUCCUGCGAGUUGUGGUAUCUGGCAAGGUUAAGCGAAUGCGAAGCCGUAGCGAAAGCGAGUCUUAAUAGGGCGCUUGAGUCAGAUGCUGCAGACCCGAAGCUAAGUGAUCUAUCCAUGGCCAAGUUGAAGCGCGUGUAAUAGCGCGUGGAGGACUGAACUCGUACCCAUUGAAACGGGUUGGGAUGAGCUGUGGAUAGGGGUGAAAGGCCAAACAAACUUAGUGAUAGCUGGUUCUCUUCGAAAUAUAUUUAGGUAUAGCCUCAAGUGAUAAUAAAAGGGGGUAGAGCGCUGAUUGGGCUAGGGCUGCUCGCCGCGGUACCAAACCCUAUCAAACUUCGAAUACCUUUUAUCGUAUCUUGGGAGUCAGGCGGUGGGUGAUAAAAUCAAUCGUCAAAAGGGGAACAACCCAGACUACCAAAUAAGGUCCCUAAGUUCUAUUCUGAGUGGAAAAAAGAUGUGUGGCUACUCAAACAACCAGGAGGUUGGCUUAGAAGCAGCCAUCCUUUAAAGAAGCGUAACAGCUCACUGGUCUAGUGGUCAUGCGCUGAAAACUAUAACGGGGCUAAGAUAGACACCGAAUUUGUAGAUUGUGUUUGACACAGUGGUAGAAGAGCGUUCAUACCAGCGUUGAAGGUAUACCGGUAAGGAGUGCUGGAGCGGUAUGAAGUGAGCAUGCAGGAAUGAGUAACGAUAAGAUAUAUGAGAAUUGUAUCCGCCGUAAAUCUAAGGUUUCCUACGCGAUGGUCGUCAUCGUAGGGUUAGUCGGGUCCUAAGCCGAGUCCGAAAGGGGUAGGUGAUGGCAAAUUGGUUAAUAUUCCAAUACCGACUUAUGGAGCGUGAUGGGGGGACGCAUAGGGUUAAGCGAGCUAGCUGAUGGAAGCGCUAGUCUAAGGGCGUAGAUUGGAGGGAAGGCAAAUCCACCUCUGUAUUUGAAACCCAAACAGGCUCUUUGAGUCCUUUUAGGACAAAGGGAGAAUCGCUGAUACCGUCGUGCCAAGAAAAGCCUCUAAGCAUAUCCAUAGUCGUCCGUACCGCAAACCGACACAGGUAGAUGAGAUGAGUAUUCUAAGGCGCGUGAAAGAACUCUGGUUAAGGAACUCUGCAAACUAGCACCGUAAGUUCGCGAUAAGGUGUGCCACAGCGAUGUGGUCUCAGCAAAGAGUCCCUCCCGACUGUUUACCAAAAACACAGCACUUUGCCAACUCGUAAGAGGAAGUAUAAGGUGUGACGCCUGCCCGGUGCUCGAAGGUUAAGAGGAUGCGUCAGUCGCAAGAUGAAGCGUUGAAUUGAAGCCCGAGUAAACGGCGGCCGUAACUAUAACGGUCCUAAGGUAGCGAAAUUCCUUGUCGGUUAAAUACCGACCUGCAUGAAUGGCGUAACGAGAUGGGAGCUGUCUCAACCAGAGAUUCAGUGAAAUUGUAGUGGAGGUGAAAAUUCC